CCUACGGGAGGCAGCAGUGAGGAAUAUUGGUCAAUGGACGAGAGUCUGAACCAGCCAAGUAGCGUGAAGGAUGAAUGCCCUAUGGGUUGUAAACUUCUUUUAUAAAGGAAUAAAGUGAUGCACGUGUGCCUUUUUGUAUGUACUUUAUGAAUAAGGAUCGGCUAACUCCGUGCCGGCAGCCGCGGUAAUACGGAGGAUCCGAGCGUUAUCCGGAUUUAUUGGGUUUAAAGGGAGCGUAGAUGGGUUGUUAAGUCAGUUGUGAAAGUUUGCGGCUCAACCGUAAAAUUGCAAUUGAUACUGGCAGUCUUGAGUACAGUUGAGGUAGGCGGAAUUCGUGGUGUAGCGGUGAAAUGCUUAGAGAUCACGAAGAACUCCGAUGGCGAAGGCAGCUUACUAAGAUGGCACUGACAUUGAUGCUCGAAAGUGUGGGUAUCAAACAGGAUUAGAUACCCGUGUAGUC
rnacentral:rRNA from 1 species